rnacentral:rRNA from 1 species
AUUGAACGCUGGCGGCAGGCCUAACACAUGCAAGUCGAGCGGAUGAAGGGAGCUUGCUCCUGGAUUCAGCGGCGGACGGGUGAGUAAUGCCUAGGAAUCUGCCUGGUAGUGGGGGAUAACGUCCGGAAACGGGCGCUAAUACCGCAUACGUCCUGAGGGAGAAAGUGGGGGAUCUUCGGACCUCACGCUAUCAGAUGAGCCUAGGUCGGAUUAGAUAGUUGGUGGGGUAAAGGCCUACCAAGGCGACGAUCCGUAACUGGUCCGAGAGGAUGAUCAGUCACACGGGAACUGAGACACGGUCCAGACUACUAAGGGAGGCAGCAGUGGGGAAUAUUGGACAAUGGGCGAAAGCCUGAUCCAGCCAUGCCGCGUGUGUGAAGAAGGUCUUCGGAUUGUAAAGAACUUUAAGUUGGGAGGAAGGGCAGUAAGUUAAUACCUUGCUGUUUUGACGUUAACAACAGAAUAAGCACCGGCUAACUUCGUG